GCUACCUAUUAGGUUGGUGCAAAAGUAAUUGCGGCUUUUGCCAAUAGAAGUAAUGGCAAAAACCAUGAUUACCUUUGCACCAGCCU
rnacentral:miRNA from 10 species